UUGAGUGCCCCUCUAAAUCUGACUACCCCUAAAUCUGACUAAGCAAAGGGAAGAAUUUGGAGUGGAUAAAAUGUAGAAAUUCAGAGGAAGAGAUUUUACGAGGUGAAAUUCAGACGUCUGAGGAGGAGGUGCUAUUUGGUGGUGUUGGGAUCUGAAUUCAGAGGAGAUUCUCUGUGGGCUUGGGAUCCAGAUCUCUGAAGAGGGAGCAUUCUCUGGAUGGUGCUGAUCUCUCUGGAGGAGGAAGAAAUAAUGAGACUGGUUCUGGAAGUUAACAAGAAGCAAAAGAUGAGAUCCCAUCCUUCCUCUAAAGAAGGUAA
rnacentral:lncRNA from 1 species